rnacentral:rRNA from 1 species
AUGUCUGGAGAAGCUGAUGGGAAGACCUACCAGGUAUCAAGGAUGCCCCCUGCUGCUCUCAAUGAGCGCAUCCUUUCUUCCAUGUCUCAAAAGCACGUUGCUGCUCACCCAUGGCAUGACCUGGAGAUAGGUCCAGGAGCCCCUGCAGUUUUCAACUGUGUGGUUGAGAUUCCUAGAGGCAGCAAGGUUAAGUAUGAGUUGGACAAAGCAACUGGUCUUAUCAAGGUUGAUCGUGUUCUGUACUCCUCAGUUGUGUACCCACACAAUUAUGGCUUCAUUCCACGCACACUCUGCGAGGAUAAUGACCCGAUGGACGUCCUUGUCCUGAUGCAGGAACAAGUUGUUCCUGGUUGCUUCCUGCGUGCCCGUGCUAUUGGGCUUAUGCCUAUGAUUGAUCAGGGUGAGAAAGAUGACAAGAUCAUAGCUGUCUGUGCUGAUGAUCCUGAGUACCGUCACUUCAGAGACAUCAGUGAACUUCCCCCGCAUCGCCUACAGGAGAUCCGUCGCUUCUUUGAAGACUACAAGAAGAAUGAAAACAAGGAGGUUGCAGUGAAUGAUUUCCUCCCAGCAGAAGAUGCCAUCAACGCAAUCAAGUACUCAAUGGACCUCUACGGUUCGUACAUCAUGGAGGGCUUAAGGAAGUGA